rnacentral:lncRNA from 1 species
ACGUAAGUCCAGCGAUUGGCAAUUGGUUUCCUGUGUGUGUUUGUUGGUUCGGAGUCUGAUGUAAGUCCAGCUAUUGGCAUUCGGUUUCCAGGUUUGCCUUUGGGGUGUGUGUGUGGAGUCUGACGUAAGCCCAGCGAUUGGCAAUCGGUUUCCUGUGUUUGUGUCUUGUUUUGUUUGGCGUGCGUGAGCCGAGCUACGAGUGCUCUGAUUCUUCUUCAGUCCAAGAAGAUACGUAUGCAUAGGAUGCGACAUUCUAGCGAGCACGUUUCCCCUUGUCCCGAACUACGUCGACUCUGAUGUCUGUGCUUGACAGACUACGUAGGCCCAGGA